rnacentral:rRNA from 1 species
UACGAAGGGUGCUAGCGUUGUUCGGAAUUACUGGGCGUAAAGCGCGCGUAGGCGGCUUUUCAAGUCAGGGGUGAAAUCCCACGGCUCAACCGUGGAAUUGCCUUUGAAACUGUAAAGCUUGAGUGUCGGAGGGGAUAGCGGAAUUGCUAAUGUAGAGGUGAAAUUCGUAGAUAUUAGCAGGAACACCGGUGGCGAAGGCGGCUAUCUGGACGACAACUGACGCUGAGGUGCGAAAGCGUGGGGAGCAAACAGG